CCCUGGCCCUGGUCCUGGCCCUGCCCUUGCCCCUGCCCCUAACCCUGGCCCUGGUCCUGGCCCUGGGC
ensembl:miRNA Gm22926 predicted gene, 22926